CAAGUUUGUCACAUUGUCACAAGUAGAACUAUUUCAAUUCCAUAUUGUCCAGUUAACUUCCAAUUCUUAAACCCAAAGUAUAGAGCAGCUACAACUACAAAUCCCCAACCCUAAUAGGUUAGCCACUGGUAACUGUUCAGCUGGCCCUCGCUCGCAUUAAUCACAAUGCUGAUAAUAGAAACACAUCAACAAAGAUGUUAUACAUGAUGGUUCAAGCACAAACACCUAAUUACUAUUGAGGCACCAUAUUCACCAAAAGAACACGGUGAUUUGCACAAGCAAUUUCUUUCAAAGAGAUGUUUAAGUGCAAGGAGAAG
rnacentral:misc_RNA from 1 species